rnacentral:rRNA from 1 species
CAGUAGCCGCGGUAAUACGUAGGUGGCAAGCGUUGUCCGGAAUUAUUGGGCGUAAAGGGCUCGCAGGCGGUUGUUUAAGUCUGUUGUGAAAUCCCCGGGCUCAACCUGGGAAUGGCAAUGGAAACUGGACGGCUAGAGUGUGUCAGAGGAUGGUGGAAUUCCCGGUGUAGCGGUGAAAUGCGUAGAGAUCGGGAGGAACAUCAGUGGCGAAGGCGGCCAUCUGGGACAACACUGACGCUGAAGCACGAAAGCGUGGGGAGCAAACAGGAUUAGAUACCCCCGUAGUCCCUGUCUCUUAUAC